rnacentral:rRNA from 1 species
GGCCAGACCUACGGGAGGCAGCAGUGGGGGAUAUUGCACAAUGGGGGAAACCCUGAUGCAGCGACGCCGCGUGGGUGAAGAAGCGCCUCGGCGCGUAAAGCCCUGUCAGCAGGGAAGAAAAUGACGGUACCUGAAGAAGAAGCCCCGGCUCACUACGUGCCAGCAGCCGCGGUAAUACGUAGGGGGCAAGCGUUGUCCGGAAUUACUGGGCGUAAAGGGCGCGUAGGUGGGCGCUUAAGUCAGGUGUGAAAACUCCGGGCUCAACCUGGAGACUGCACUUGAAACUGGGUGUCUUGAGGGCAGGAGAGGAAAGUGGAAUUCCUAGUGUAGCGGUGAAAUGCGUAGAUAUUAGGAGGAACACCAGUGGCGAAGGCGGCUUACUGGACAGUAACUGACGUUGAGGCUCGAAAGCGUGGGGAGCAAACAGGAUUAGAUACCCCCGUAAAG